rnacentral:piRNA from 1 species
UGCCCAUGAUCAUACAAGAAGCAUACAGAA